rnacentral:rRNA from 1 species
CGAGUCUUAAUAGGGCGUUUAGUUGCUGGGUAUAGACCCGAAACCAGGCGAUCUAUCCAUGAGCAGGUUGAAGGUUGGGUAACACUAACUGGAGGACCGAACCCACUGUCGUUGAAAAGCCAGGGGAUGACUUGUGGAUAGGGGUGAAAGGCUAAUCAAGCCUGGUGAUAGCUGGUUCUCCCCGAAAGCUAUUUAGGUAGCGCCUCGGACGAAUACCAUAGGGGGUAGAGCACUGUUUCGGCUAGGGGGUCAUCCCGACUUACCAAACCGAUGCAAACUCCGAAUACCUAUGAGUACUAUCCGGGAGACAGACUGCGGGUGCUAACGUCCGUAGUCAAGAGGAAAACAAUCCAGACCGCCAGCUAAGGCCCCAAAAUCAUAGUUAAGUGGGAAACGAUGUGGGAAGGCAUAGACAGCUAGGAGGUUGGCUUAGAAGCAGCCACCCUUUAAAGAAAGCGUAAUAGCUCACUAGUCGAGUCGGCCUGCGCGGAAGAUGUAACGGGGCUAAAACUAUGUGCCGAAGCUGCGGAUUUGACAUUAGUCAAGUGGUAGGGGAGCGUUCUGUAAGCCGAUGAAGGUGUAUUGAGAAGUAUGCUGGAGGUAUCAGAAGUGCGAAUGCUGACGUGAGUAACGACAAAACGGGUGAAAAACCCGUUCGCCGAAAGACCAAGGGUUCCAGUCCAACGUUAAUCGGGGCUGGGUGAGUCGACCCCUAAGGCGAGGCCGAAAGGCGUAGUCGAUGGGAAAUUGGUUAAUAUUCCAAUACUUCUGUGUAAUGCGAUGAGAGGACGGAGAAGGUUAAGUCAGCCUGGCGUUGGUUGUCCAGGUGGAAGGAUGUAGGUAUGUAUCUUAGGCAAAUCCGGGGUACUCUAUACUGAGAUCCGAUAGCAAGCUGUACUUGUACAGUGAAGUGGCUGAUACCAUGCUUCCAGGAAAAGUCUCUAAGCUUCAGUUACACAGGAAUCGUACCCGAAACCGACACAGGUGGUCAGGUCGAGUAGACCAAGGCGCUUGAGAGAACUCUGCUGAAGGAACUAGGCAAAAUGGUACCGUAACUUCGGGAGAAGGUACGCUGUUGUUGGUGAUGGAACUUGCUUCCUGAGCUGACGACAGCCGCAGAAACCAGGCCGCUGCAACUGUUUAUUAAAAACAUAGCACUCUGCAAACACGAAAGUGGACGUAUAGGGUGUGAUGCCUGCCCGGUGCUGGAAGGUUAAUUGAUGGGGUUAGCGUAAGCGAAGCUCUUGAUCGAAGCCCCAGUAAACGGCGGCCGUAACUAUAACGGUCCUAAGGUAGCGAAAUUCCUUGUCGGGUAAGUUCCGACCUGCACGAAUGGCAUAAUGAUGGCGGCGCUGUCUCCAGCAGAGGCUCAGUGAAAUCGAAAUCGCUGUGAAGAUGCAGUGUACCCGCGGCUAGACGGAAAGACCCCGUGAACCUUUACUGCAGCUUGACACUGAACUUUGACCUUACUUGUGUAGGAUAGGUGGGAGGCUUUGAAGUUGGAACGCUAGUUCCAAUGGAGCCGUCCUUGAAAUACCACCCUGGUAAUGUUGAGGUUCUAACUCUGUCCCGUUAUCCGGGACGAGGACCGUGUCUGGUGGGUAGUUUGACUGGGGCGGUCUCCUCCUAAAGAGUAACGGAGGAGUACGAAGGUGCGCUCAGCGUGGUCGGAAAUCACGCGUAGAGUAUAAAGGCAAAAGCGCGCUUAACUGCGAGACCCACAAGUCGAGCAGGUACGAAAGUAGGUCUUAGUGAUCCGGUGGUUCUGUAUGGAAGGGCCAUCGCUCAACGGAUAAAAGGUACUCUGGGGAUAACAGGCUGAUACCGCCCAAGAGUUCAUAUCGACGGCGGUGUUUGGCACCUCGAUGUCGGCUCAUCUCAUCCUGGGGCUGAAGCAGGUCCCAAGGGUAUGGCUGUUCGCCAUUUAAAGAGGUACGCGAGCUGGGUUUAGAACGUCGUGAGACAGUUCGGUCCCUAUCUACCGUGGGCGCUGGAAAUUUGAGAGGAUCUGCUCCUAGUACGAGAGGACCAGAGUGGACGAACCUCUGGUGUACCGGUUGUGACGCCAGUCGCAUCGCCGGGUAGCUAUGUUCGGAAGGGAUAACCGCUGAAAGCAUCUAAGCGGGAAGCCUACCUCAAGAUAAGAUUUCCCUAGGAAUUUAUUCCUCUAAAGAGCCGUUCGAGACUAGGACGUUGAUAGGUUGGAUGUGGAAGCAUAGUGAUAUGUGAAGCUGACCAAUACUAAUUGCUCGUGAGGCUUGACUAUACAACACCCAAGCAGUUG